GGCGAUGACACGAUCACCAAGAACGUGACGCAUACCAGAAGAAAAGCAGAGUAACUGGACUUCACCAUUUUUUGAGAAAGUUUAGUCACUUCAA